CGGGUGAGUAACGCGUGAGGAACCUGCCUCAAAGAGGGGGACAACAGUUGGAAACGACUGCUAAUACCGCAUAAGCCCACAGCUCGGCAUCGAGCAGAGGGAAAAGGAGCAAUCCGCUUUGAGAUGGCCUCGCGUCCGAUUAGCUAGUUGGUGAGGUAACGGUCCACCAAGGCGACGAUCGGUAGCCGGACUGAGAGGUUGAACGGCCACAUUGGGACUGAGACACGGCCCAG
rnacentral:rRNA from 1 species